GUUUGAGGCUGCAGAGCAUCCGGAAAUUGAAGAGGGAAAUCCCAGAAUGGCUGAAACCACAGUAGACACACCUGACGUGACCUGUUGAGCAUGCACUGUACAUCUGCUUCAAACAUUUACAACGUUCCAGAGCCAAGAAAGAUGCUCUCAGAUGGGACACGGACGCUAAGAAACUCUCCCAAGGACAAGGAUACACAACCAAUAAGCAGCAGAGUCAACAUCACAUGGUAGUCAAGUUCCAGAAUCUAUACCCUUAACCUCUGCAAUCUGCAGACUUUCUUCUGAUAGCCACCCAUUGACUACAAACAAAGGGGAUGGCCAGUAACCCAGCUGACACAAGUGAGUCAUAUGACUCCAUCAGGAAUGGAAUUAAUUGGUCCACUGUGGAAUUCUUCCACCUUGUUCUGCAGCCCAAAGGCAGAAGCAGAGGAAAUAGAUAUUGAAUUUUCCAAGAGUUGGGGUCAGACUGGUCACUGGAAUCUCAAGAGGGGCUUUAAAAAAACGCUGAAUUCUGAGAGCUAUCGUGGAGCAAUAAUAUGGAAAAACUAGGGGUGAGGUCCAGGAAUUUUUUUAAAAAGGGUCCCUCAGUG
rnacentral:lncRNA from 1 species